rnacentral:rRNA from 1 species
UUGCCAGACUCCUACGGGAGGCAGCAGUGGGGAAUAUUGCACAAUGGGGGAAACCCUGAUGCAGCGACGCCGCGUGAGCGAAGAAGUAUUUCGGUAUGUAAAGCUCUAUCAGCAGGGAAGAAAUUGACGGUACCUGAGUAAGAAGCUCCGGCUAAAUACGUGCCAGCAGCCGCGGUAAUACGUAUGGAGCAAGCGUUAUCCGGAUUUACUGGGUGUAAAGGGAGCGUAGGCGGCCUGCCAAGUCUGAUGUGAAAUACCGGGGCUCAACCCCGGGGCUGCAUUGGAAACUGGCAGGCUGGAGUGUCGGAGAGGCAGGCGGAAUUCCUAGUGUAGCGGUGAAAUGCGUAGAUAUUAGGGGGAACACCAGUGGCGAAGGCGGCCUGCUGGACGGUGACUGACGCUGAGGCUCGAAAGCGUGGGGAGCAAACAGGAUUAGAUACCCCUGUA